rnacentral:lncRNA from 1 species
AUUCAGAACCUUGCCCUCACUAGACGAAAAAAAUAGACCUAAAUAUCUUCUGAAAGAUUCAUCUUCUAGUUUUUUUAUUUUUCUUUCUAUUAGUAAAAGCUUGGAAGGGGGUUUUCUCUGAAUUUCUGGGUUCUUGAGCUGAGUAUGGAUUGACAUUGAAGCUAUGCUGAUUACUGCUAUUGUUCUUCACUGCUGAACCCAGUAGCUGAUUUCAAUCUUGUGUUUGCAUACUUCUAUUUGGUAUUUUGCUGUUAUUUCUACUUUUAGGUAUGUAAACCCUCGCCUAUCCUAUUCUACGUUGAAUUAAUGGAAUGGAAAGAUGAUCUUCUCUAUGUUACACUUGUGUUUGAUUAUUAAGAUUAGCAUGUUUAGUUGUUAAAGAUGACUCCAAUUUCUGGUUUGGUCUGCAAUAUGAGAAUCAAGUCUUUUCAGCGUUGUUUGUUUGGUAUGCAAUGUUAUUUCAAGUUUUCUCAUACCUAUUCUACCUCAUCCCGUUAAUAAUGGUUCAUGCUCAUAAGAUGGUUUUAAUUUCUGGUCUGGUUAUGCAAUAUUUAAGUGAAGUCUUUUCUUGUGUUGUUCUGAGUCUGGUCACACCUGUUUUACCUCAUUUUUGUCAAUAAUAAUUCAUGUUCAUAGGUGAUUUAACGGGUGAUACACCUGUGAGACUAACCACCAGUUGGUUAGGUUCUUUCGGAAGAAGCCCAGCUCCAUAAGUUCUAGACACAGAAGUUCAAAAAUGAUAAAUUUCAUGGCUGUCACAUGAAUGGUAAUUCUAAUUAUAUAGAUUAGCUAUGUAAUUUUGAAGGUUUCAGAUGGUAGACAAUUUCAGAGAUUGAUAGAAUUAUUAAUGUAAUAAAAUCCGAUUUUUUAGAACUUGAUUUUGUUGUAGUAGUAUGUUAUUUGAAUAAGUCAACUUUGUAAUAGUGUAAGUCAUUUUAAUUUUAUGUCUAAGGUUGUACGCAGCAAGAUUUUUUUGGUAAUUUUUGGCAAUCCAGGCCAAUUCAAUUGGACCUUGAUUUUGUUGUAGUAGUAUGUUAUUUGAAUAAGUCAACUUUGUAAUAGUGUAAGUCAUUUUAAUUUUAUGUCUAAGGUUGUACGCAGC